CUUCAGCGACCCCAGCAGCAGCGGCCGGUCGCGGUCCUGGCCGUAGGUGGCGAUGAGCGCCUGCGCCUC
rnacentral:antisense_RNA from 1 species